rnacentral:rRNA from 1 species
AGCGAACGCUGGCGGUAGGCUUAACACAUGCAAGUCGAACGGCAGCGCCGUAUUCGCUGGCUAUUCCGGGUGCCGAGUGGCGGACGACUGAUGAAUACCUCGCAAUUUACUUUUUCAUGGGUUCUAACGUCUGGAAACUUUCCCGGAUACCGCCUCCUACCUACUGGUGAAAGCUGGGAAUCUUCGGCCCUUGCGGAUUUACUUGCGCCGUUGUCGGAUUUGCUAGGUGGCGGGGUAAAGGCACACCAAGGCGACUAUCCGUAGCUGGUCCGAGAGGAUGAAGAGCGACACUGGAAAUGAGAAACGGUCCAGACACUGACGGGAGGCAGCAGUGGGGAAUAUUGGAAAAUGGGGGCAAGACUGAUCAAGCCAUACCGGGUGGGUGAAGAAGGGCUGCGGGUUGUAAAGCCCUUUUGUUGGGAAAGAAAAGCAGCAGGUUAAUACCACGCUGUCCUGACGGUACCCAAAGAAUAAGCACCGGCUAACUUCGUG